GGUGAUUUGCUAACGAACUGUGA
rnacentral:siRNA from 1 species